rnacentral:rRNA from 1 species
UGCAGUCGAGCGGAUGAAGGGAGCUUGCUCCUGGAUUCAGCGGCGGACGGGUGAGUAAUGCCUAGGAAUCUGCCUGGUAGUGGGGGAUAACGUCCGGAAACGGGCGCUAAUACCGCAUACGUCCUGAGGGAGAAAGUGGGGGAUCUUCGGACCUCACGCUAUCAGAUGAGCCUAGGUCGGAUUAGCUAGUUGGUGGGGUAAAGGCCUACCAAGGCGACGAUCCGUAACUGGUCUGAGAGGAUGAUCAGUCACACUGGAACUGAGACACGGUCCAGACUCCUACGGGAGGCAGCAGUGGGGAAUAUUGGACAAUGGGCGAAAGCCUGAUCCAGCCAUGCCGCGUGUGUGAAGAAGGUCUUCGGAUUGUAAAGCACUUUAAGUUGGGAGGAAGGGCAGUAAGUUAAUACCUUGCUGUUUUGACGUUACCAACAGAAUAAGCACCGGCUAACUUCGUGCCAGCAGCCGCGGUAAUACGAAGGGUGCAAGCGUUAAUCGGAAUUACUGGGCGUAAAGCGCGCGUAGGUGGUUCAGCAAGUUGGAUGUGAAAUCCCCGGGCUCAACCUGGGAACUGCAUCCAAAACUACUGAGCUAGAGUACGGUAGAGGGUGGUGGAAUUUCCUGUGUAGCGGUGAAAUGCGUAGAUAUAGGAAGGAACACCAGUGGCGAAGGCGACCACCUGGACUGAUACUGACACUGAGGUGCGAAAGCGUGGGGAGCAAACAGGAUUAGAUACCCUGGUAGUCCACGCCGUAAACGAUGUCGACUAGCCGUUGGGAUCCUUGAGAUCUUAGUGGCGCAGCUAACGCGAUAAGUCGACCGCCUGGGGAGUACGGCCGCAAGGUUAAAACUCAAAUGAAUUGACGGGGGCCCGCACAAGCGGUGGAGCAUGUGGUUU